rnacentral:rRNA from 1 species
AUUGAACGCUGGCGGCAUGCUUUACACAUGCAAGUCGAACGGUAACAGGUUAAGCUGACGAGUGGCGAACGGGUGAGUAAUGCAUUGGAACGUGCCCGAUCGUGGGGGAUAACGCAGCGAAAGCUGCGCUAAUACCGCAUACGAUCUGAGGAUGAAAGCGGGGGACCGUAAGGCCUCGCGCGAUCGGAGCGGCCGAUGUCAGAUUAGGUAGUUGGUGGGGUAAAGGCCCACCAAGCCGACGAUCUGUAGCUGGUCUGAGCGGACGACCAGCCACACUGGGACUGAGACACGGCCCAGACUCCUACGGGAGUCAGCAGUGGGGAAUUUUGGACAAUGGGCGAAAGCCUGAUCCAGCAAUGCCGCGUGCAGGAAGAAGGCCUUCGGGUUGUAAACUGCUUUUGUACGGAGCGAAAAGGUCCUUUCUAAUACAAGGGGCUCAUGACGGUACCGUAAGAAUAAGCACCGGCUAACUACGUGCCAGCAGCCGCCGUAAAAC